rnacentral:rRNA from 1 species
AGCAGUCGCCACGGUAAUACGUAGGGGGCAAGCGUUGUCAGGAAUAACUGGGCGUAAAGGGUGCGCAGGUGGUUUAACAAGUUAGUGGUGAAAGGCAUAGGCUCAACCAAUGUAAGCCAUUAAAACUGUUUAACUUGAGUGCAGGAGAGGAAAGUGGAAUUCCUAGUGUAGCGGUGAAAUGCGUAGAUAUUAGGAGGAAUACCAGUGGCGAAGGCGACUUUCUGGACUGCAACUGACACUGAGGCACGAAAGCGUGGGGAGCAAACAGGAUUAGAUACCCGUGUAGUCCCUGUCUCUUAUACA